rnacentral:rRNA from 1 species
GACGAACGCUGGCGGCGUGCUUAACACAUGCAAGUCGAACGGAAAGGCCCUGCUUUUGUGGGGUGCUCGAGUGGCGAACGGGUGAGUAACACGUGAGUAACCUGCCCUUGACUUUGGGAUAACUUCAGGAAACUGGGGCUAAUACCGGAUAGGAGCUCCUGCUGCAUGGUGGGGGUUGGAAAGUUUCGGCGGUUGGGGAUGGACUCGCGGCUUAUCAGCUUGUUGGUGGGGUAGUGGCUUACCAAGGCUUUGACGGGUAGCCGGCCUGAGAGGGUGACCGGCCACAUUGGGACUGAGAUACGGCCCAGACUCCGACGGGAGGCAGCAGUGGGGAAUAUUGCACAAUGGGCGGAAGCCUGAUGCAGCAACGCCGCGGGCGGGAUGACGGCCUUCGGGUUGUAAACCGCUUUCGCCUGUGACGAAGCGUGAGUGACGGUAAUGGGUAAAGAAGCACCGGCUAACUACGUGC